GCCAUACUUCCUCCCUCCAACAAAAGAUGUCUUAAAUUUGUCAAAAUUUGGAUGUAUUUAAACAUGACUUACUGUAUAUAUACAUGCAUUCAAAUAGUCAAAAUUGAGACAUCCUUUGUUGGACAGAGGAAGUACAAA
rfam:Brachypodium distachyon strain Bd21 chromosome 1, whole genome shotgun sequence.